UACGAAGGGGGCGAGCGUUGUUCGGAUUUACUGGGCGUAAAGGGCGCGUAGGCGGCCCUCCUUGUCGCGUGUGAAAGCCCCGGGCUCAACCUGGGAAUUGCGCGCGAAACGGGCGGGCUUGAGUUCGGGAGAGGAGCGUGGAAUUCCCAGUGUAGAGGUGAAAUUCGUAGAUAUUGGGAAGAACACCGGUGGCGAAGGCGGCGCUCUGGACCGAGACUGACGCUGAGGCGCGAAAGCGUGGGAGCAAACAGG
rnacentral:rRNA from 1 species